AGCGAACGCUGGCGGCAGGCUUAACACAUGCAAGUCGAGCGGGCAUCCUUGUGGUGUCCGCGGCAGACGGGUGAGUAACGCGUGGGAACGUGCCCUUCGGUUCGGAAUAACUCAGGGAAACUUGAGCUAAUACCGGAUACGUGCGAGAGCAGAAAGGUUUAUCUGCCGAAGGAUCGGCCCGCGCCUGAUUAGCUAGUUGGUGAGGUUACGGCUCACCAAGGCGACGAUCAGUAGCUGGUCUGAGAGGAUGAUCAGCCACACUGGGACUGAGGCACGGCCCAGACUCCUACGGGAGGCAGCAGUGGGGAAUAUUGGACAAUGGGGGCAACCCUGAUCCAGCCAUGCCGCGUGAGUGAUGACGGCCUUAGGGUUGUAAAGCUCUUUUCUCCGGGACGAUAAUGACGGUACCGGAGGAAUAAGCCCCGGCUAACUUCGUG
rnacentral:rRNA from 1 species